UUGGCUUUUUUCGUUUUUUUCUGUGUUUAAAAGGAAAAAAAGCAUAUGAAAAAAUACACUAGGGAGCUGAUAUUUCCUGCAGGAUACUAAAUCAUGUAGAAGUUCGAAAUGGCACCAUCCGGCAAUUUCUAACUGAUUGCAAACAGGCUGGGAAGAUUUGCACUAAACUCUUGUUAUUUUGCCAUUUUUUGGCUCAUUGACUCCCAUUAUAAAUCAUGAUUUUUAAUAUGCUGUAAACCUGAUGUUUUAUAAUGCAUUUUCCGUGAUUAUUGAUGCAAUCGCUUCUUUGGCGAGUCAAAAACAUGCAGAUAAAAAUUUUUUUGUGUUGACACCCAGAAGUCACUAGAUGGAGCCAUAGGCCAAUACAUGAAUUUGCUUGCGAAGCUAGCUUCAGAUCGGUCAAAAAUUAAUGCAAUAAAGACGGUUGGCUUUACAAAAAAAAUGGUGUCAAUGUUGUCUGAGCUCACUUUCAGUCUAUUUGGGCAUGCGUAUUUGCAAUUUUGCACGUUUGCACAAGACAAUAAAAAGGUACUUCCCGGAAAUGCAAAAAAACCAAAACAAAAAACCACGUGUUUAUUGUUGUCGUUUGAAUUUAAACUUUUAUUGGUUGGGUGUUUGAAUUUCUUUACUCUCAUUGGUUCUGGGCAUUUUGGGAGUCUCUGUUCUCGCGAGGAUCACCAUUUUGCAUUUCUUCCAACACAACUGUGAUCGAUGGCGGCGAGAAGUAUUUCACCGCAGGACACGAUUCGAAUGGUGUUAGAAAAUCCUGAUUCCGACGACGACGACCUUUGUUCGGACGCUUCUUUGGAGAGCCCAGAAGACAUUGAACAAAUUCUUCCGGACUUUCUCGAUGCCGGAGGAGGACGGCUUUGAUGACGAGGAUUAGGAAAUAGUUGACAACAUAACGAGAUGAAAGCGGGGAGCAGAAGGCGGGGGCACGGACAUGACCACGUUCAGGCGCAUGACGAAAAUGACGGCGAUCGAGGCCUGAGGCACAUACUCCUGCCGCCGGCGCGCACUCAGGUGGCCAAUGUGUGUUUUUUCACAUGCCGGACAUUUCGUCAUGCAGCGCGUUUGUGCUGUUCACGGAGAUCUACCCUCGUUUGUGCUGUUCACGGAGAUCUACCCUGAGUGGAACGUGAAGAAAAGCUACAAGCGCCGACUAUUUCUUGAGGAACUUGGCAAGGCUCUAAUUCGGCCAGAAGUCCUAAAACGGGAACCACCGCCUUCUGCCGAAGGCUUGGUUGAGCAGCGAGCUGGACCCCCGUCCAAGCGCAAACAAUGUGGCCUUUGCACAAAGCCACUUCGGGCUUCGAACAUAAUAAUAAAUAAUAAUACAUUUUAUUUAUAACGCACUUUACAUUUGAACAACAAAUCUCAAAGUGCACAUCAUGAAUUGUGUAUGUUGUUAUUAUGUUAACUGUUAUAUUGUAUGUAUGUUUUGUAAAAUUGUUAACAUAAAUUCUAUCAUCAAAUCA